rnacentral:tRNA from 1 species
GGCCUGUAGCUCAGUGGUAGAGCACUUGCCUUGUAGGUGUGAGGCUCUGGGUUCGAUCCUCAGUACCA